rnacentral:rRNA from 1 species
ACACAUGCAAGUCGAACGGAAAGGCCCUUCGGGGUACUCGAGUGGCGAACGGGUGAGUAACACGUGGGUGAUCUGCCCUGCACUUUGGGAUAAGCCUGGGAAACUGGGUCUAAUACCGAAUAGGACCGCGCUCUUCAUGGGGUGUGGUGGAAAGCUUUUGCGGUGUGGGAUGGGCCCGCGGCCUAUCAGCUUGUUGGUGGGGUAAUGGCCUACCAAGGCGACGACGGGUAGCCGGCCUGAGAGGGUGACCGGCCACACUGGGACUGAGAUACGGCCCAGACUCCUACGGGAGGCAGCAGUGGGGAAUAUUGCACAAUGGGCGCAAGCCUGAUGCAGCGACGCCGCGUGAGGGAUGACGGCCUUCGGGUUGUAAACCUCUUUCAAUAGGGACGAAGCGCAAGUGACGGUACCUAUAGAAGAAGGACCGGCCAACUACGUGCCAGCAGCCGCGGUAAUACGUAGGGUCCGAGCGUUGUCCGGAAUUACUGGGCGUAAAGAGCUCGUAGGUGGUUUGUCGCGUUGUUCGUGAAAACUCACAGCUUAACUGUGGGCGUGCGGGCGAUACGGGCAGACUAGAGUACUGCAGGGGAGACUGGAAUUCCUGGUGUAGCGGUGGAAUGCGCAGAUAUCAGGAGGAACACCGGUGGCGAAGGCGGGUCUCUGGGCAGUAACUGACGCUGAGGAGCGAAAGCGUGGGGAGCGAACAGGAUUAGAUACCCUGGUAGUCCACGCCGUAAACGGUGGGUACUAGGUGUGGGUUUCCUUCCUUGGGAUCCGUGCCGUAGCUAACGCAUUAAGUACCCCGCCUGGGGAGUACGGCCGCAAGGCUAAAACUCAAAGGAAUUGACGGGGGCCCGCACAAGCGGCGGAGCAUGUGGAUUAAUUCGAUGCAACGCGAAGAACCUUACCUGGGUUUGACAUGCACAG